rnacentral:rRNA from 2 species
AGCAACUGCCGCGUGAGUGAAGAAGGCUUUCGGGUCGUAAAACUCUUUUGUUGGAGAGGAUGGUCUGCAGAGUAACUGUUGGCGGCGUGACGGUAUCCAACCAAAAAGCCACGGCUAACUACGUGCCAGCAGCCGCGGUAAUACGUAGGUGGCAAGCGUUAUCCGGAUUUAUUGGGCGUAAAGCGAGCGCAGGCGGUUUUUUAAGUCUGAUGUGAAAUCCCUCGGCUUAACCGAGGAAGUGCAUCGGAAACUGGGAAACUUGAGUGCAGAAGAGGACAGUGGAACUCCAUGUGUAGCGGUGAAAUGCGUAGAUAUAUGGAAGAACACCAGUGGCGAAGGCGGCUGUCUGGUCUGUAACUGACGCUGAGGCUCGAAAGCAUGGGUAGCGAACAGGAUAGAUAC